rnacentral:rRNA from 1 species
ACGAACGCUGGCGGCAUGCCUAACACAUGCAAGUCGAACGAGACCUUCGGGUCUAGUGGCGCACGGGUGCGUAACGCGUGGGAACCUGCCCUUAGGUUCGGAAUAACUCCCCGAAAGGGGUGCUAAUACCGGAUAAUGUCUUCGGACCAAAGAUUUAUCGCCUUUGGAUGGGCCCGCGUUGGAUUAGCUAGUUGGUAGGGUAAAAGCCUACCAAGGCGACGAUCCAUAGCUGGUCUGAGAGGAUGAUCAGCCACACUGGGACUGAGACACGGCCCAGACUCCUACGGGAGGCAGCAGUGGGGAAUAUUGGACAAUGGGCGAAAGCCUGAUCCAGCAAUGCCGCGUGAGUGAUGAAGGCCUUAGGGUUGUAAAGCUCUUUUACCCGGGAUGAUAAUGACAGUACCGGGAGAAAAAGCUCCGGCUAACUCCGUG